rnacentral:rRNA from 1 species
UACGUAGGGGGCUAGCGUUGUCCGGAUUUAUUGGGCGUAAAGAGCGUGUAGGCGGCCAGGUAGGUCUGGUGUGAAAACUCGAGGCUUAACCUCGAGAUGUCAUCGGAAACCAUUUGGCUAGAGUCCGGAAGAGGAGAGUGGAAUUCCUGGUGUAGCGGUGAAAUGCGCAGAUAUCAGGAAGAACACCAAUGGCGAAAGCAGCUCUCUGGGACGGUACUGACGCUGAGACGCGAAAGCGUGGGGAGCAAACGGAUUAGAUACCCCGGAGUCAGAUCCAAGACCAGUCUGUCGACCGUCAUACACCUCGACCGUGACCCAUUGACCGA